CUUGCAGGAGAACCUGGAAUGCGGGGAGGACGUGGCCACUUGUCCCAGCUACACCACCUGAGUUCGACCCAAAAGGUGAUCUCUGCUUCCCAUCCAGAGUGUUUUUCACGUGUUCCUGCCACUUCCCGGAGGACUGGGAGCUUGUUGAAAGCAAGACAUCCCAGAGGAAAAGGUUCUUUCUUAUGAUGGGUCACAAGGAAGCAGAGCCCAGCACCUUGUCGUGAGCAGCCUGGCCUGGGAACCUCUCUGAUCACUGCCUGUGUGACAUUCCAGCUCUGUUUCAGAAAGCAAAGGAAAUGCAGGAUGGAGAACAGAAUACUCUCGUGACUUGGCAGUGAAUAUUUUCAAGCAGAAGAAUCUAGAGGUAAUUAAGAAAAGUGAAGAUCUGAUGCAGUCCUUUUACUACCAAGCAGCUUCUAAUCAGAAACGUUCUACAGAUAUUAGCACCUAUAUUUUGCACCGUAACACUACAACAUCUUGUUGCUAGUAGUGUGGCUAUAGCAAGAAAAUAAGGCUGUGUGAAAUCUUAAUUGGAAAAAGAAUUGAAAAUAACUGUACUUGAAUACAUAACCUUGGUGGCAAGUGCUUAGUUGCCAUGGAGAUUGGCAAAGGCUUGCAAUAUAGAUAUCUAAUCUUCAGAAAAAUUCAAAAGGGUACUGGUAUACAGAAAUACCUUCCCUGUAAUUUGGAGCAGUUUCAUAGACUGUCCAUCAAAAAUUGGCAUUUCAAAAAAUCAGGAGUGUGACUGAUAUGAGACAUAGUGAUUUAAUCCAAUUUGUGAAAAACAAGGAAUUGUCACAUGCAGCAAUGAACAGAGAGCAAUUCUGACAUGGCAAAGGCAUAGACUCCCACUCACCUUCAGGAAAAUGUCUCAUUGAGAUUCAGCUCCCAACAGCACUCCAGUGGAAGCUAUACUUUUUUAAUGAAACUUAAAACCUUUGUAGAUACAUUGUGAGUUUCUUUUGCCUGGAUAUGUUUGACACUCAAGCCCAAGAGACCUUCUUAGAACACCCAUCACAAAAGUCACAAUGGCAGGCUUGAUUGUGGUGUCACAGGAGGGUGGCAAUUGCAGC